GAUGAACGCUGGCGGCGUGCCUAAUACAUGCAAGUCGAGCGAACGGACGAGAAGCUUGCUUCUCUGAUGUUAGCGGCGGACGGGUGAGUAACACGUGGAUAACCUACCUAUAAGACUGGGAUAACUUCGGGAAACCGGAGCUAAUACCGGAUAAUAUUUUGAACCGCAUGGUUCAAAAGUGAAAGACGGUCUUGCUGUCACUUAUAGAUGGAUCCGCGCUGCAUUAGCUAGUUGGUAAGGUAACGGCUUACCAAGGCAACGAUGCAUAGCCGACCUGAGAGGGUGAUCGGCCACACUGGCACUGAGAAACGGUCCCGACUCCUACGGGAGGCCGCAGUCGGGAAUCCUACGCAAUGGGCGAAAGCCUGACGUAGCAACGCCGCGUGAGUGAUGAAGGUCUUCGGAUCGUAAAACUCUGUUAUCAGGGAAGAACAUAUGUGUAAGUAACUGUGCACAUCUUGACGGUACCUAAUCAGAAAGCCACGGCUAACUCCGUG
rnacentral:rRNA from 1 species